rnacentral:rRNA from 1 species
AUGGCGGACUGGGGGCCGGUGGUGGUCGCGACGGUGCUGUUCGUGCUGCUGACGCCGGGGCUGCUGUUCCAGCUGCCGGCGCAGGGCCGGAUCGUGGCCUUCGGCAGCAUGCACACCGGCGGCCUCGCCAUCCUCGUCCACGCCGUCAUCUACUUCGCCCUCAUCACCAUCUUCCUCAUCGCCAUCGGGGUCCACAUCUACGCCGGCUAG